rnacentral:rRNA from 1 species
AACAAGGUCUCCGUUGGUGAACCAGCGGAGGGAUCAUUACAGGGUCUCACGACUGCCCAAACACACACAUUACCGUGCUCCGUCGUUGGAUUUUUAGUUCUCUCUCGUUCCGGCGGGCCGCCCGCUGGGGGGGCCUUGGGGGGUUUCGGCCUGGCUCGCCGGACGUUGAGAGUGCUUCGUUCUUUUGAAGCUCUUCUGAGAAAAACAUCGGGACUUUCCCCUAACGGGGGGUCUCUCGUCACAACCCACAACAAUGGAUCUCUUGGCUCUGGCAUCGAUGAAGAACGCAGCGAAAUGCGAUACGUAAUACGAAUUGCAGAUUCAGUGAAUCAUCGAGUUUUUGAACGCAUAUUGCGCCCUCUGGCAUUCCAGAGGGCUUGUCCGACCGAGCGCCGCUGCACCGCUCGGGGAGUGUCCUUCCUUCUGGGAAGGGCGCGUUCCCGGUGUUGGGGCAUGCCUGCCGUCGUGCAGGCAGCCCUCAAAUUCAGCGGCGGCCGCCCCAGGGGCCUCUAGGUGCAGUCUAAUACCCUGCCGCCUCGGGGGCUCCGGGAGGGCCCGCCUCCAACAACCACACAGGAGGGGCAAAAAAGCCCCUCCGUCCGUUGGCCUCGGGUCGGACAAGGUUACCCGCUGAACUUAAGCAUAUCAUAAACC